rnacentral:misc_RNA from 1 species
UCAAACUUGGUCAUUUAGAGGAAGUAAAAGUCGUAACAAGGUUUCCGUAGGGUAUGUCCUCUCCCCGUUCUACACGUCGUGAUUCAAUGCUAAUGUGAUUAUAGUGAACCUGCGGAAGGAUCAUUAAUGAGUAAGGGUCUCGACUUAUACAGAGCCCGACCUCCAACCCUUUGUCUACCUUACCAAUGUUGCUUCGGCGAGCCCGCUUCGAAAGAGGCCGCCGGAGGGUCGUUAAACACUCUCUGGUCAGUGCUCGCCGGUGGCCCUAAUCAAAACUCUUGUUAAGAACUUGUCUAAGUAUAAACAAACAAAUAAGUAAAAACUUUCAACAACGGAUCUCUUGGUUCUGGCAUCGAUGAAGAACGCAGC